rnacentral:rRNA from 1 species
GUCGGACGGGAUUUGGGAGCUUGCUCCUGAUGAGAGUGGCGCACGGGUGCGUAACACGUAUGUAACCUACCCAUAUCAGGGGGAUAGCCUCUCGAAAGAGAGAUUAAGACCGCAUAACAUUAUUUUGUGGCAUCAUAGAAUAAUCAAAUAUUUAUAGGAUAUGGAUGGGCAUGCGGAACAUUAGCUAGUUGGUAAGGUAACGGCUUACCAAGGCUACGAUGUUUAGGGGAUCUGAGAGGAUGACCCCCCACACUGGUACUGAGACACGGACCAGACUCCUACGGGAGGCAGCAGUAAGGAAUAUUGGUCAAUGGGCGGAAGCCUGAACCAGCCAUGCCGCGUGCAGGAAGACGGCCCUACGGGUUGUAAACUGCUUUUGUACGGGAAUAAACCUCGAUACGUGUAUCGAGCUGAAUGUACUGUAAGAAUAAGGAUCGGCUAACUCCGUGCCAGCAGCCGCGGUAAUACGGAGGAUCCAAGCGUUAUCCGGAUUUAUUGGGUUUAAAGGGUGCGUAGGCGGCCUAUUAAGUCAGGGGUGAAAGACGGUAGCUUAACUAUCGCAGUGCCUUUGAUACUGAUGGGCUUGAAUGCAGCUGAGGUAGGCGGAAUGUGACAAGUAGCGGUGAAAUGCAUAGAUAUGUCACAGAACACCGAUUGCGAAGGCAGCUUACUAAAGUGUGAUUGACGCUGAGGCACGAAAGCGUGGGGAUCAAACAGGAUUAGAUACCCUGGUAGUCCACGCCCUAAACGAUGAAUACUCGAUGUUGGCGAUAUACGGUCAGCGUCUAAGCGAAAGCGUUAAGUAUUCCACCUGGGGA